UGAGCAACCUGCCCCAGACACAGGGAUAACCCCGGGAAACCGGGGCUAAUACCGGAUACUCCGGUCGAGCCGCAUGACUCGAUCGGGAAAGCUCCGACGGUCUGGGAUGGGCCCGCGGCCUAUCAGCUUGUUGGUGGGGUAACGGCCUACCAAGGCGACGACGGGUAGCUGGUCUGAGAGGACGACCAGCCACACUGGAACUGAGAUACGGUCCAGACUCCUACGGGA
rnacentral:rRNA from 1 species